GGGAUCGCCGGCGCCUACCUCGUCCAGCGUGGCUGAGAGAGACUCGAGGUGCGGCCGCGGCUCGAGAACCACUCCGACCACAUCCCGGGCCCGGCAGGGGCCAGGGCAGCGGGCCGUCCCGCCCUAGGGACAGGCAGAUGGGAAGAGGAGGUGGAGGGGCCCUGGAGGUUCUUGCCUUGGGUGUGCCUCAGAAUCACACCCAAGUGGAGCUUGUUUAAGGAGAAAAAGGAUACGCAGGUCUGAUCGACGGGGGGGAAAUUACAGGCAAUUCUGAAGCUUGGUGUUGAAUCCCUGCGGAGCUAGAUACAACUUAGGCUCCAAGAAGAGAGGAAUGGGUGGGGCGCGGAGAGCUUCCUGAAUGAGUGUGAAGAACUUUCUCGGUGCCACUGGAGACAAACGAGCUGGAAAUUACUCUGAAGUACAAUUAUGAUCCCCACGUUAAAGUGAAGAAACGGAUAUACAGACAUGAACAAAGAUACAACAAAGAGUGAUACAAGAAAAACAUAAAACUUAUGACUGGAUCUAGAAAGUGGUUCUCUGUCUUCGCUCCCACUUGGGAACCUGGACUACCUCCUGCUUUGGGAUGGAAGAUUAUCUACAAUGAAGGAAAAGCCUUGGGGUGCCUAAGUGGCUCAGUUGGUUAAGUGUCCGCCUCCUG